UAGGUGAUUUGUGCUGGCUUCUAACAGGUGUAGAAGGGCAACACUGGGUGGGACCUGUGACUGCACAGCUCUCCAGAGCGGAAGGAAGCAUGUUGAUAUGUGCCAUCAUGUACAGGCUUGGGGAGUGGUAUCCCCCAGCAUGCAUGGCUGUGAGUUUCAGAGACUGUACAUUCAGCGUAGGUGGCCUAGGAGACUGGCCUGCCAUCCUAUGUAGACUUUCCUGGUGGUAAAGCGAUUGCACAGCUGUAUUUGAGUUUCUUUUAUGCAACAGCAGGGAAGGUCUGUUGUAUUUGUUACUGAGACCUUUUUUUUUUUUUCACAUGAGGGACCAAUCCCAUUAGUGCAAUAUAAAAGCUGCUUCAAUCGUGACAGUAAAAAAGAUGCUAAUGAAAUGCAGUUUUGUAACCACUGAUGUGUUUUAAUUAAAAACGUGGGUUCCUGGGAUGAUUCUGCUGAAAUAGUAAUAUCACUUGAAUAAACAGAAAAGAUCUGCAGGAAAAAAAAAAUCAUAAUUAAUUUCCAAAUAGCUAAAUCUUACUUUAUUGCAGUUCUUUAUUGCAGCCUGAUGGUUGGCUGUUUGACCUUUGGUAGAAACCACGUAGAUGGAGAGUACAUUUUCAAACACUUAAAACCUCACAGUAAAAUGAGAGGACUCUUGUAGUGGAUGCGGAGACUGAAACAGGCCAAGUGGAAAGCAGAGAAACAGGCUUUCAGGGUGGGAUGGUGUUAAGGUCUGUCUGUGAGGGAGUGGUAUGAAGAAAUUGUAUUUUUCUUCUAACAAGGUAUAAAUGUUUGUGGAAGGAGAAGGAGCAGGUUCCUCUGUCAUUCAAAGCAGGCAUCUGUGAAAGAUGAAGAUGAGCUUAAGUAAAGUGCAAGAGCUCUGUCCUGGUUCGGGGUUGUUACUGCACAGUGCUGCUCUGGCCAGGGGUAGUGCAGACUCACAUUUCACCUUGGUCCCCUGAAACUCGUCACUUUUCUGUUGGCAAGACCAAAGCACGUAGCGUGGCUGCGUUGCUGUUACAGCAUUGUUAGAUGGUAGGAAGUGGUGGUUGCUGCUGGGGAGUGUGAUUUCUUUUCCCUUUUUCACUUGGAAUAGGGCUCAUGUCCAAAUUUACUGUGUAGUUUAUGGGAAUGGUAAGAUGGCCAGGAUCUCGGAAGGCUGUUGUGAAAUGUACCUUGGCAUAAAGAUAUUGCUCAGUUGUUUGUUUAUUGCAUUUUUGCAGUGUAAACUGAUAAUAAGUACAUUGGUUUCUUUGUUAUUAUCUUUAUUUUUUUAAAAAAUCACAAUUACCUCUUCCAGUAAUUUUCUUUCAUGUUACUUCAUUUAAUUUUAAGUCUUGCUUACAUACUGAAAGGAUAAGUUACUCCCUGGUGGCUUUGUGUGUACCUACAGGAGUGUUACUCAGUCUUCACCAACAUGAUGCAUUUUCUACAGUACAGACCUGAAAUCACUGCAGCUCACCAUGUGUGCGCACAGCUGCUUUGCUGAAUGAGGUUGGGAAUGUUAUGUCAUGAAGUUCUUGUCCACAUUGCAGGUAGAUUUUGCCUUUCUCCACCUGCAUCCCUGGGAUUUGUGCUUACAAGAUGUGUAAUAUCAGAGUUUUUAAAAGGAAUUUGCGUGUGACUUUUCUUGGGAACAGAAGAUGCAAGAAUUAAUGUGUAUAAUCUUUAAUUGAUGAAACCAAGAUUAAGUUCUGUAUCCUAAAGCAAAUUAUGGUGGUGUUUUUAUAGCAGGAGCUACAUAAACAAAACUACUCAUUUGUAGCAAAAAGAGCUCUAAGUAAGCAACAGACACUAAUGUUUACAAAUGAGAGAAAACAAAAAAGGAUCCACAAAACAAGAAGCAAACCUCUGUCUAGGAUGAGGAAUGGUACUCUAAAAUGAAAAGGACAUGAGCUGUGCUGCUGCAGUAGCCUCAAACAACAACAUGCAAGUGUCCAGCAGGAGAUGAGAGCAGCCGAGGUGUGCUGCCUCCCUAGUUCUGCCUUGCACCUUCACUCCUCUGACAGUCUUGAAAAUGCUCUUCUGAGAAGGAAAUGUUCACAGAAAGCAGUAUGUAGUAGUGGCAACUCUUAAUGCAGCUUCCCCAUGUUAAAAAGUACCUUGUGAGCACUUCUACCUAUGGACCUCCAAGGGGUUCAUGGAGAGAACUAAAAAUGGAGUUCACUUCUGUCCUGAACCUGAGUAUGCUGGCGGUUUCACUGCAGUCUGAGUUGCAGUGAUUUAAAAUGGGACUUUCUUAGCCUUUAUCAUCCCAGCCGUUUCAAUUAAUCUUCAUAUUAGGUGUGUCAGGAGUCUAAUGGGUCUGACUCAUGUCAUCUUCAAAUGUGGUGUAAAUUGAGAGAGACUGCUGGAAGACAAAAGAUUCCAUGUGAAAAAUUUCUUCUAGCUGAGGGAAGACAGGUGUGGGAAAAUACCGGUGAAUGAACAGUUAUCUCUGCUACUGGCUCAGUAGCUCAGUCUGGAUUAUUGACCUGUGGUGUGAAAACCCCCUCUUGUACUCACUGCUGCAGUGGUGGAUAGCAGAAGAGGACAUGGAUAACAGCAUGAAUCACUGAGUGACUCAGCUGGCUUGAGUGAAUGUCCCCUGGAACUGUGCUAGCUGGAAGCCAGCCUGGACGUGCCUUCUUGCUUCCUUGUAAGCAAUGCGGACUCCCCUGCUGAAGUAGCAUUGUCACCUUCCAUCCAUUGACAUGUACUGCGGAGAUGGGAACACCCUGAUCACAAGCCACUUGGUUCUCUACAGGAACCGCAGGACCUGUUUGUACAACCACAAGCUCACAUGAGGUGCAGCUACACUUCGCAGCUGUCAGUAGUUGCAGGGAAGAGAUCUGUGUUGUCAAGUGCAUGUGCACAUGCAGGCAAGUACAUUUUUCUAACUCCAGUUGACUCAGUUAAAUUUAUAUCCUCUCAUCUGUGCCUCCUUUUCAUAUGGCCUCUGCAUAGGAAAUAAAUGCUUUGAGGGCUGAACAUUCCCAACCUGUGCACAAGCAGUCCCCUGGGAGCCCUGAUACAGGAUUCUUGGAGCUGUGUUAGUUCAGUUUGCCUGGGAAGGCAGAGUUUUCAGUCCAGGAGCACCUGUUUGAGGAAGCUCACAGCAGCGGUGGGGGCCAUCGGCAGAUGAGGUCAGCAGUCUGAAGUGCCUGCAGAGGUCAGAGAGAAAUGAAUGGGUCAUUUCUUUUGCAAAUGAAGAGCUACAGCCUGGAGCAGCCGUAGCAGAGCCCAGCAUGUGGGUCCAGGCUGUUCCUUUUAUGAGCUGAUGGAAAUGGGGCCCAAAAGGACUUCCCUGAUGGAGUUCUGUCACAGGCUUUGUUAUCUUCACCUCCUCCAGCAUGCACUGGGCAUAGAAUAUGGAUUGGGGGUUAUCCUGGCUACCAGCACAGUCAAGAGGACGAAGGCUUUAUGGCUGCAUAGAAAACCUAAGGCUGCAGGGUAUCCUUAUUGCCAUUCCAAAAGGAAAAUCUUGUUUUAAGAUGGAGAACACAUGUUUCUUUCUGCUUUAGUGCUCCUUUUUACACAGCCUACACUAAAAUGUGUAAAUACAAGGGCUGCUUUAAAAUAAUGCACAUAACUGAGUAACAGGGGUUAGAAAGCCUAGAUUCUAUUCUUCGUUCUGGUGGUAGACUGUCAUUUAAUUUGACAAAGCCCUAUGAAUGACUUACACCUCAUGCCUCACUUUUUCUGUAAAAUACUGAAGAAUAGUAGGAUCUUUUUCUAAAAACAUUUUUAGGCUUUGGAAUACAGAAUGCUUUAUAUAUGCAAAAUGUUGCUGUUAGUAGCACUGUCUGUCAAUGUAAUAUCUUUUGGACUACUUUUUAUGCAACAAUGUUACUUUGUCUGAAUUGUUGAUUUGGAAUGAAUUUUAUGUUAUAUAAACAAUGUCACUUCUGUCUUGAGUUUGUUCUUUCACUUCUUUGCAGACCACCAGGGAACUUCUUUCACUGUGAGAUUGUAAUGGGAGGUGGAGACACCUCGAGGAGAAGGUCGAAACAGACAACAGCAAUUACAGUCAAUAACAUCUAUGACUUGAGAAAAUCUUGCCUCGAUUACAGGGUUUUGUGUGGUCUGUGUGUGCCAUCUUUCCUAUGUACAGAUACUUAAAAUAAGGCAAAACAUGGAAAGAACUGUUUCCCUUGUAGGAGCUCCAGGAGCAGCUUCCCAUUAUUAUAUGGUCUUUUCACAGCAUCAGAUAGAGUGGGGCAGGGUGGGGACUUUAAGGGGAAGGCAGCUAAGGUUGGGGUAACUGUGCUCACAGUUUUUCCUCACUGCUGUGCUGUUACAGCUAUGACAAGCAACUGGAGGUUAGAACAGUCCUGGGACUGGCAGAAGGUGCACUAAAAAGGAAAAUGAACUUAGGUUUAGAUUUUAUUUUUCAACCUCUGCUAUGUGUGAAGGAUUGUUUUUUAUGGCUUUUAAUCUCUGCUUUCCUUUAGAAACCUCAGGAGGACUGUCUGCCCUUCAUGUCUGUUUUGACAUGUUUUACAUGCAUGAUAAGGAGCACAGCCACUCUCGCUGCACUGGUCAUUUCUGUGAACAGGAGAGGAGAAUCUGCUCACUGAUCGAUCGGGAAUGUGGCAGCCUCCACCUAUGCAUUGGAAUGCACCCGGAACUCCUCCUUCCGUUAGACAAGCCCUCGCUUUUGCCUCCUUUACUCCAAACCCUUUCUGUUCCUUCACCUCAUGGGAUGGAGAAACCGUAGAACAACUGAAGACUGAAAGUGGUGCCAAGAGCUCACCUCUGUAGCAGACAAGGACAAAAUAGAACCUGAUCACCAAACUGACAUUUGCUUCAUUUGUUCUUAAAAAUCUUUAUGGAUGGGGAUUCCUUGGCCUUCCUGGCAGACCUCUCCCAUCUUUAGCCAUCUUCACAGUUGCUGAGUUUCUCCUAACAUCAUCUGUGCCAACUGAGCCAGUUGCCUUAUCCUCAAUGAGCGUGAGGAACAGUUUAAUCAAUAUCUCCUUUAAAACAGUCUAGCACAUCUGGUGGAUUUCUGUGGCAUCCAUCCUCAUCUCCCGCCUCUAACAGUGGGGAAAUGUGUCCCUCUACGGCCCCAUGGGAAGCUCUGAGCUUCCAGGUGAGGAGAGGAAAAGCAGGAGGCAACACUCUGCUUCCAAGCUGGGAAAGAGCCUCUUAACGGUGGGUGCUCUGGGAAAGGUCCCCUGUACACAGGUUGCUGGAGUGAGGGCUGGGGAGAGGUUAUGCAGGAGCAAGGAUGGAGCAGAAAGCAGUGACUGAUGGAGCUCUGUGACAAGUGGCAACCAAGAGGUUAGGGGGAAGGUGGAGCUCAGGGCACCUUUGAGGCAAGAGGUCUCAUUUUUCAAAUCUGUUGUUGCUUUCUGUCGCUUUAUACACAAUCUUUGGAGUGUUGUGUUAAGGAAAAAAAAAUAAUGGAAAGUGAAAAUGUUUUCAGCUCCUCUCUGGAGAGGGGGACCCUUUGCAGGCUGCUGCAGAGAAGUGGCAUGUGCACAGGGGCCAGGCUGGUGCGGUGCUGGGCGCUCUCGCUGUGUGGAGCAGCUCCAGUGUUAGAGCUGAGCAGUCAGUGUUUUCUCCCUCGCUUGCUGGGCUGAUUUAGAUAGGAUCAUGGAGACUAGACACCACGUAGUAGUUUUUAGAGCUUGUAGGGAGGCAGAACGGCAGGAAGGGCUCUCUGAUUUUUCCCUUAGCCAUCAUUUCCCGGACAGCGAGUGGAAGCCUGCAAUCUCUUACUGUCCUUCAGAGACCUCUCCUUUUUUGCUCUUUUAUGCUGAAUCUCUAUUCACUAUGCUACAAGUUCUCUCAAUGUUUUACUUUUAUUUUCCAUUCUGUGCAAACCUCUUUCCCUUUUCCACCCACCCCAAGGCUCCAAUCCCUCUUGCUGUUUUGUAGCAAUUGGGGUGGUCUCCUCUCCCCUCCCUCACUUCUUUCUUCCAGUUACCCCGUUGUCUUUAUUUACUCUUCAUAUUCCCCCUUCUCCUGUCCUUUAUGCACCCACACCUAUAUUUCUCUUUUCUUUUCCUCUCUUGCAUGCAGCCCUGUUCCUAUCCUCUAUUCUUUCCCACCCUGUUCUCGAUGCUGUGCACCAUGUAGCCUGUUUUCCCAUCACGAACUUUGCUCUGUGAGGUUUCUUACAUGAAGCAAAGAAAUCCCUGGUGCCUUUGCAGCCAUUCCUCUCUCCCUGUUGCUGACUGUACCCCCUGCCUCCCCACCUGAGCAGGGUCUAAAUUAUUAAGUUUCUCUAAAUAGCUCUUCUCCCCUGACAUGCCUGACUCUUGCCCCAAGCCAGCUCCCACCAGGCAGGUGGUGGCUGGGCAGCGGGUUCCCUUUGAGACAGACACCCCUGACUGCCCCGUGCACGGGCUCGCAGGGAGUUGUGCCAUCAGCCUUCCCAGAGGGUCAGCAUCCCCUCCAAAGCAGGCGUGAGUGCUGAGCAGAAGCUGCUGCCAGAGACUGGCAUUGCCCCCAGGCUGCCUGUGGAGCUGCAGUUAAUAUCUUCCAGGUUUGCAUGUUCAGCAUUGUAACACAAAUAUUACAAAAAUUAUUUGAAUUCCAGUUCAAGUUUGUUUAUCAGCUGUCCAAACUAAGUGAAAAGCAAAACUUCUCUUAGUACCUGACUGCUAAAAGCUCCUGGCGAGAGACAGGUCUCCAAGACACAAUCUCUCCUUAAGCCUUAUAUGAUGAGGGAGGAAAAGAGGCGGCUGCUGCCCUGCCCCUCCCCUAACCUCUACUUUUUGGAACCUCCCUCUCGCCAUGAAUAACUCCAGUGUCUGCCACUGGUGCUGGGCAGAGCUUUGCCAAUCAUCCUCCUCAGCAGGAAGUGGACAUGAUUUUGAUAGUGUCACUCUACCACACACGAGAUGCUGAAUAGCAGCAAGAAAACUGAGCAGUUUUGUUAAUCUCACUGGUGUUUGGCAACCUCUCAGCAGCAGCCACAGAGGCACUACAGCUGUCUGUCUGCAGCCCCUGGAAUACAAUGCUGCAUUAUUUUAUAUUCGGCAGAUCAUCUUUCCAAUCAUAAGGUCUGGAAUGUUUUAUAUAUUUACUUCUCCAUAAGGAAAGCUUCCUACUGUCACUAAUCAACAUAUUUUUCAAGACCUGCUGUCUUAUGCAUUACAGAGAUAAAUGGAUUGGUAUUUACAAAGCACUUUGGGGUCCUAAGGUGGAACUACAAAAUAUUGUGUGUAUGUUUUGGAAAGGGCCUUGGAAUAAGUUACAUGGUACGGUGUCAUUCUCAGUGAUGCAAGUCCAACCACAUCCUCCAUCCCAAUCCUCCUGAAGGCUCACUUUUUUCCCCCUCUGAUGUUUGCAGAUGUUAACUUGCAUUGAUCCUGUUCUCCUUUCUCCAAUGCUCUUUUGGGUGGAGAAAAAGAGAAUAAAAUAAUAAGCAUAAUGAAAAAAAACUCCAAACCUAACAACAAAGCAUUUUAACACUGUGUCCCUCACAGUGCUCUGCUUUGUCUUAUAAGUAACACACACUUAAAAUUACAGCAACACACUAGAGGUAAACCAAGAGAUGUCAUCCCUUAGCGUGUCCAACACUGAGCUUGUUUCUUUUUUUCUUGUGGUUUUGAUUAGCAUUAGCACUAUGCCUACAGUGGGCAGUUAUGGAGCAUAAAACCUGUGCCAGGUGACUUGAAAAGUCCCCCCUUUGGAGUAUUUGCCACCCAAAUCAGAGGGAGCAGGUGCGAGCGGGCAGCACUGCAGCAGUGAGUUUGGGCAGCAUGGCAGGCAGCACCGGUGGCUUUCUGACAGCCCAGCCCUCGUCCAGGUAUCUCAGGACACGCCAGAGGAGAGGGCCGGGAUGCUGCCUCAGCACCACCGCUUCCGCUGGCCACGCAGCCCUUCCCUGCCUGCUGCAGUACCACCUCUGCACGUUGUUAUUUAUAUUUCCCUCCUGCACCGGCCCAGCUGCCUCUUGGGGCACCUCCACCCAAAGUGGUGACUUCAGUCCUGUGGAAUGAUGAGUGGGUUAUUCUGGAGAAGCAGCUCAGCCUGGAAUGGUGGCAGUGGGAGCUCGGGCUGCUCUGCAGCCGCAGCUGGGAUGCUGCAUAGCUCAGUUCCCAGGGGUGGCUACUGCAUCUCUGGUGUUGUGUCGCCGUGCCCAGGUACAGAGCCAGGAGACAGGGCAGUGUCACUGACCCAGCUCAGGAAACUGAGUGGGUGAAUGGUGGUUUGGCAGAGCUAACAGGCAGAGGAUGAAUUUAACUCAGAGUUGCAGCCGCAGGCCCCAGGAUGAGGCCAUGGCAUCAAAGGUACUGUUGCAAAGUAUUGCUAGAACAAAGGUGUCCUGGUUCCUCUCCAGGAGAGACCAGGCAUAUCAGCACACAGAAAAGCAGCCACAGGAGAAAGGGAAGAAGGGUCCAGUGAGGAUGGCAUGGACCUGAGCUGUCAGUGCUUGGCUCUAGGCAGUAAGAGGGUACGGGGGAGACUGGCACUGGAAAAAGCAGAGCUAGAGAAGCACAUGGGGAGCGUUGGGCAGCACAUGCCUGGGACCCCGCUGUACCCUCUUGCAACGAGGGGGCAUGGCAGCUGGCACCAGAGGUUUGGUGCAUGACUCCGUUCCAAUACGCCACAGAUGAAGACAAAUCCCUGGUCCCAGGGCAACACAGAGCGCGCUCGGGAGAGGCUGCAGCUUUCCCCUGCCUCCAGCUUUACAGGCGUUUUGUGUGUUCGUCGCCGAGCUCCUCCAGCUGCCCAGGCCGGGCUGCCCCAGAGCAGAGUGCACGGACCUGCGCUGGGAGCCACCCGCGUGUGGAUGAACUCGUGUGGCAGCGGAGGGAGGCUGGAGCCUGGCACGGCUCAGUCUGUCAGCCUGAGCGAGCCAGAACCCGCGCGGGGGCUUGGGGGCCAGCCCGGCCCCCCGCGUACCCGGGGCCGCUGGGGCUCCGGCCCGGCGGCGGCUUUACCGCGGCCCGCCGGCCCGGGUCUCCCGUGCGGGGCGGCCCUCACCAGGUCCCGGCGGGUUGCGGCGGGGGG